AUUGAACGCUGGCGGCAUGCCUUACACAUGCAAGUCGAACGGCAGCACGGGUGCUUGCACCUGGUGGCGAGUGGCGAACGGGUGAGUAAUACAUCGGAACAUGUCCUGUAGUGGGGCAUAGCCCGGCGAAAGCCGGAUUAAUACCGCAUACGAUCUACGGAUGAAAGCGGGGGACCUUCGGGCCUCGCGCUAUAGGGUUGGCCGAUGGCUGAUUAGCUAGUUGGUGGGGUAAAGGCCUACCAAGGCGACGAUCAGUAGCUGGUCUGAGAGGACGACCAGCCACACUGGGACUGAGACACGGCCCAGACUCCUACGGGAGGCAGCAGUGGGGAAUUUUGGACAAUGGGCGAAAGCCUGAUCCAGCAAUGCCGCGUGUGUGAAGAAGGCCUUCGGGUUGUAAAGCACUUUUGUCCGGAAAGAAAUCCUUGGCCCUAAUACGGUCGGGGGAUGACGGUACCGGAAGAAUAAGCACCGGCUAACUACGUG
rnacentral:rRNA from 1 species